AGAGGCUAGAGUCACACUUGGGUAUAGCUAUUGCCUUAGUGUGCCAGUAUCCACGAAGAACAAUUGCUGAUGUUAUUCACUGGCUCUGGGACCCUAUGGCAUAGUCAGGCACCAGGUCAGUGACAUGC